rnacentral:rRNA from 1 species
GCUGUCGACCGAUCCCGCACCAGUGCUACGCGGAAUCCCAACCACGGAUGGGAUAACGAGGCGCCCGUCGACGUGCGAAACGCGCUGCGGCAGCUUUCCAAUGAGUUAUUCCAGCUGCCGCCUCGUGUCACGCGGUACAGUUCCUCAACAUUCUGCUCGAGCGGGUGCUAAGUGGGAAAGGAUGUGGAGUUGCUUAGACAACCAGGAGGUUGGCUUAGAAGCAGCCACCCUUGAAAGAGUGCGGUCGACGCGGCCG